AUUGAACGCUGGCGGCAGGCCUAACACAUGCAAGUCGAACGAGUGGCGGACGGGUGAGUAAUGUCUGGGAAACUGCCCGAUGGAGGGGGAUAACUACUGGAAACGGUAGCUAAUACCGCAUACCAUCGGAUGUGCCCAGAUGGGAUUAGCUAGUAGGUGGGGUAACGGCUCACCUAGGCGACGAUCCCUAGCUGGUCUGAGAGGAUGAACAGCAAGACCGGAACCGAGACACGGUCCACACUGCUACGGGUGGCAGCAGUGGUGAAUAUUGCACAAUGGGCGCAAGCCUGAUGCAGGGAGGCCGCGGGGGGGAUGAAUGCCUUCGGGUGGUAAACUCCUUUCGCUAGGGAAGCGGUACCUGGAUAAGAAGCACCGGCUAACUACGUGCCAGCAGCCGCGGUAAUAC
rnacentral:rRNA from 1 species